rnacentral:rRNA from 1 species
UACGUAGGGGGCCAGCGUUGCUCGGAAUUACUGGGUGUAAAGGGUUCGUAGGCGGUGUGGCAAGUCGGGAGUGAAAUCUCUGGGCUCAACCCAGAGUCUGCUUCCGAAACUGCUGUGCUUGAGUGUGGGAGAGGCGCGUGGAAUUGCAGGUGUAGCGGUGAAAUGCGUAGAUAUCUGCAGGAACACCCGUGGCGAAAGCGGCGCGCUGGACCACUACUGACGCUGAGGAACGAAAGCUAGGGGAGCAAACAGG